UACGUAGGGUGCGAGCGUUGUCCGGAAUUAUUGGGCGUAAAGGGCUCGUAGGCGGUCUGUCACGUCGGGAGUGAAAACUCAGGGCUUAACCCUGAGCCUGCUUCCGAUACGGGCAGACUAGAGGUAUGCAGGGGAGAACGGAAUUCCUGGUGUAGCGGUGAAAUGCGCAGAUAUCAGGAGGAACACCGGUGGCGAAGGCGGUUCUCUGGGCAUUACCUGACGCUGAGGAGCGAAGGCGUAGGG
rnacentral:rRNA from 1 species